rnacentral:rRNA from 1 species
UGGGGAAUAUUGGACAAUGGGCGAAAGCCUGAUCCAACCAUGCCGCGUGUGUGAAGAAGGUCUUCGGAUUGUAAAGCACUUUAAGUUGGGAGGAAGGGCAGUAAGCGAAUACCUUGCUGUUUUGACGUUACCGACAGAAUAAGCACCGGCUAACUCUGUGCCAGCAGCCGCGGUAAUACAGAGGGUGCAAGCGUUAAUCGGAAUUACUGGGCGUAAAGCGCGCGUAGGUGGUUCGUUAAGUUGAAUGUGAAAGCCCCGGGCUCAACCUGGGAACUGCAUCCAAAACUGGCGAGCUAGAGUAGAGCAGAGGGUGGUGGAAUUUCCUGUGUAGCGGUGAAAUGCGUAGAUAUAGGAAGGAACACCAGUGGCGAAGGCGACCACCUGCGCUCAUACUGACACUGAGGUGCGAAAGCGUGGGGAGCAAACAGG